GGAUUGCCUCAGUAACGGCGAGUGAAGCGGCAAGAGCUCAAAUUUGAAAGCUGGCCCCUUCGGGGUCCGCGUUGUAAUUUGCAGAGGAUGCUUCGGGUGCGGCCCCUGUCUAAGUGCCCUGGAACGGGCCGUCAGAGAGGGUGAGAAUCCCGUCUUGGGCAGGGUGCCCGUGCCCGUGUGAAGCUCCUUCGACGAGUCGAGUUGUUUGGGAAUGCAGCUCUAAAUGGGUGGUAAAUUUCAUCUAAAGCUAAAUACCGGCCGGAGACCGAUAGCGCACAAGUAGAGUGAUCGAAAGAUGAAAAGCACUUUGAAAAGAGAGUUAAACAGCACGUGAAAUUGUUGAAAGGGAAGCGCUUGCGACCAGACUCGGCCCCGGGGUUCAGCCAGCACUCGUGCUGGUGUACUUCCCCGGGGGCGGGCCAGCGUCGGUUUGGGCGGCCGGUCAAAGGCCCCAGGAAUGUAUCGCCCUCCGGGGUUGUCUUAUAGCCUGGGGUGCAAUGCGGCCAGCCCGGACCGAGGAACGCGCUUCGGCACGGACGCUGGCGUA
rnacentral:rRNA from 1 species